rnacentral:rRNA from 1 species
UACGGGGGGGGCAAGCGUUGUUCGGAAUUACUGGGCGUAAAGGGCGCGUAGGCGGCCUGCUAAGUCGGACGUGAAAUCCCUCGGCUCAACCGGGGAACUGCGUCUGAUACUGGGUGGCUUGAAUCCGGGAGAGGGAUGCGGAAUUCCAGGUGUAGCGGUGAAAUGCGUAGAUAUCUGGAGGAACACCGGUGGCGAAGGCGGCAUCCUGGACCGGUAUUGACGCUGAGGCGCGAAAGCCAGGGGAGCAAACGGG